CCUGCUGUGGCUCAGGAGGUAGAGCGGGUUGUCCACUGAACAACAGGUCUGUGGUUCCAUUCCGGGCACCUGCA
rnacentral:tRNA from 1 species